GAUGAACGCUGGCGGCGUGCCUAAUACAUGCAAGUCGAGCGAACAGACGAGGAGCUUGCUCCUCUGACGUUAGCGGCGGACGGGUGAGUAACACGUGGAUAACCUACCUAUAAGACUGGGAUAACUUCGGGAAACCGGAGCUAAUACCGGAUAAUAUAUUGAACCGCAUGGUUCAAUAGUGAAAGACGGUUUUGCUGUCACUUAUAGAUGGAUCCGCGCCGCAUUAGCUAGUUGGUAAGGUAACGGCUUACCAAGGCAACGAUGCGUAGCCGACCUGAGAGGGUGAUCGGCCACACUGGAACUGAGACACGGUCCAGACUCCUACGGGGGGCAGCAGUAGGGAAUCUUCCGCAAAGGGCGAAAGCUUGACGGAGCAACGCCGCGUGAGUGAUGAAGGUCUUCGGAUCGUAAAACUCUGUUAUUAGGGAAGAACAAAUGUGUAAGUAACUAUGCACGUCUUGACGGUACCUAAUCAGAAAGCCACGACUAACUACGUG
rnacentral:rRNA from 1 species